rnacentral:lncRNA from 1 species
CAAAGUCCGUAGAUCAGCGAAAAGAAGAUCGUUGUUGCUGAAGGAGAAUAGAUCUGAGAUCCAAUGGCGUAAUGCCCGCUUAUAUAGCCAGACGGCCCAGUCCAUUCUGGCAGGCUUCGUCUCCAUAGGCACCAUUGGUUCAUUUUUGAUUUACUGCAGUUUUUUCCCCAUAGCGUCUAGCGACGCAGUACGAGUGAAAGUAUCGAUAGGGAACCACAGUUUCCAGAACACAGAACUAGUGUGACACGGUUAAACAAAAACUACAGACAAAAUGACUACUGUAGCUCUUCAAGCUCUUCAAAGUCAUCAUGGAUCUGAUUCAUUGUCUUUUCUCUUUCUGUCUUAAGUCUGAGUAGAUGCAGUUUUACAGAAGAUCAGAGUUUCAUCCUUACUUCAUCUCUGAAAUCCAACUCAUCACACCUGAGAGAGCUGGACGUCAGUGAGAAUAAAAUGUACAACACAGGAGUGUAUCAAUUACGUGAUAUACUGAAGGAUUCACAAUGUAACCUGGAGAGGCUGAGGUGAGGAACAUUCACAUACAAGAAAGAGAAAAGUGUUUUGGUAUUUGAAUGGUACAGAAUGAAUAUUUUGUCUCUUAACUCAUUGUAGGUUGAGAUGCUGUGAUUUGACAGAUGAAGGUUGUUGUGCCCUGACUUCAGCUCUGAAAUCAAACCCAUCACAUCUGAGAGAGCUGGACCUGAGUAUGAAUGAACUAGGGAGUUUCUGGAGUUGAAAACAUCUGUGAUCUACUGAUGAACCCACAAUGCAAGCUGGAGAAACUAUAUCUGCGUGGAUGCAGCAUUACAGAGGAACAGUGUCUCAUCCUGACUUCAGCUCUGAAAUCAAACCCAUCACACCUGAGAGAGCUGGACCUGAGUAUGAAUAAAAUAAAAAAACACAGGAGUGAAUCACUUAUGUAAUGUAUUGAAGGAUUCACACUUUAAACUGGAGAGAUUGAGUCUAAAUGACUGUGCCAUUACAGAUGUUUCUUCUUUAACUCAGUCUUUGACAAACAAAAAAGCACUGCAGUUUUUAAAAGAGCUUGAUCUGAAAAACAAUAACAUACAAGACUCAGAGAAGCAGCUCAUUGAUGUGCUGCGAGACUCAAACUGUAAAUUGAGGUGAGUAAAUGUCUUUCCGUGGUAUUAAAGAAAGCUUCAUUUACAUAUAGUCUUGGACA